UUAAAUUUGUUUGUGGAUGGUGUUCAGCACCAAGGACGUAUGUGUUAACCAGUGUGUGGAUGUUGUUCAGCACUAAGGACAGGCGUGUUUACCU
rnacentral:pre_miRNA from 1 species